rnacentral:rRNA from 1 species
AGCGAACGUUUGCGGCGGGCCUAACACAUGCAAGUCGAACGGGCUAGCAAUAGUCAGUGGCGCACGGGUGCGUAACACGUGGGUAAUCAACCCUUCAGCUCGGGAUAACGCCUUGAAAGGGGCGCUAAUACCGGAUACGACGCGAGGAGCUUCGGCUGCUUGCGGGAAAGAUUCGCAAGGGAUCUCUGAAGGACGAGCCUGCGGCCUAUCAGCUAGUUGGUGAGGUAAGAGCUCACCAAGGCGAAGACGGGUAGCUGGUCUGAGAGGAUGAUCAGCCACACUGGAACUGAGACACGGUCCAGACUCCUACGGGAGGCAGCAGUGGGGAAUAUUGCGCAAUGGGCGAAAGCCUGACGCAGCCACGCCGCGUGAGCGAUGAAGGCCUGGGUCGUAAAGCUCUGUGGGAGAGAGAA